rnacentral:rRNA from 1 species
GACGAACCGCCCGAACGUUGUUCGGAAUCACUGGGCUUAAAGGGAGCGUAGGCGGGCUGCCAAGUCCGGGGUGAAAUCCUCCAGCUUAACUGGAGAACUGCCUCGGAUACUGGAAGUCUCGAGGAGGGUAGGGGCGAGUGGAACCGUGGGUGGAGCGGUGAAAUGCGUUGAUAUCCAUGGGAACUCCGGUGGCGAAGGCGACUUGCUGGACCCUUUCUGACGCUGAGGCUCGAAAGCCAGGGGAGCAAACGGG